UAGACAAAAGCCCGCUGGAUUGGUGUUUAGCUGUUAAUUAAAUUAUUGUGGGAUCGAGGCCCAUUUGCCUAG
rnacentral:tRNA from 1 species